rnacentral:tRNA from 1 species
GCGGGAGUAGCUCAAUGGUAGAGCUCCUGCCUUCCAAGCAGGUGGCGCGGGUUCGAUUCCCGUCUCCCGCUCCA